rnacentral:rRNA from 1 species
GAGUUUGAUCAUGGCUCAGAACGUACGCUGGCGGCACGCCUAACACAUGCAAGUCGAACGAAGUAGCAAUACUUAGUGGCAGACGGGUGAGUAACAUGUAGGUAUCUGCCCUUUGGCCUGGAAUAACACGAGGAAACUUGUGCUAAUACCGGAUAAGUCUUUACGGAGAAAGCUUUAUGCACCAUUGGAUGAGCCUGCACUUGAUUAGUUUGUUGGUGGGGUAAUGGCCUACCAAGACUGUGAUCAAUAGCUGAUUUGAGAGGAUGAUCAGCCACAUUGGGACUGAGACACGGCCCAAACUCCUACGGGAGGCAGCAGUGGGGAAUCUUGCACAAUGGAGGAAACUCUGAGGCAGCGAUGCCGCGUGAGUGAAGAAGGCCCUUGGGUUGUAAAGCUCUUUCGUCGGGGAAGAAAAUGACUGUACCCGAAUAAGAAGGUCCGGCUAACUUCGUGCCAGCAGCCGCGGUAAUACGAAGGGACCUAGCGUAGUUCGGAAUUACUGGGCUUAAAGAGUUCGUAGGUGGUUGAAAAAGUUAGUGGUGAAAUCCCAGAGCUUAACUCUGGAACUGCCAUUAAAACUUUUCAGCUAGAGUAUGAUAGAGGAAAGCAGAAUUUCUAGUGUAGAGGUGAAAUUCGUAGAUAUUAGAAAGAAUACCAAUUGCGAAGGCAGCUUUCUGGAUCAUUACUGACACUGAGGAACGAAAGCAUGGGUAGCGAAGAGGAUUAGAUACCCUCGUAGUCCAUGCCGUAAACGAUGUGUGUUAGACGUUGGAAAUUUAUUUUCAGUGUCGCAGGGAAACCGAUAAACACACCGCCUGGGGAGUACGACCGCAAGGUUAAAACUCAAAUGAAUUGACGGGGACCCGCACAAGUAGUGGAGCAUGUGGUUUAAUUCGAAGAUACGCGCAGAACCUUACCAACACUUGACAUGUUCGUCGCGACUCUAAGAGAUUAGAGUUUUCGGUUCGGCCGGACGAAACACAGGUGCUGCAUGGCUGUCGUCAGCUCGUGUCGUGAGAUGUUGGGUUAAGUCCCGCAACGAGCGCAACCCUCACUUUUAGUUGCCAUCAUUAAGUUGGGCACUCUGAAAGAACUGCCAGUGAUAAGCUGGAGGAAGGUGGGGAUGACGUCAAGUCCUCAUGGCCCUUACGUGUUGGGCUACACACGUGCUACAAUGGUAUCUACAACAGGAAGCAAAACUGCGAAGUUAAGCAAAUCCCUAAAAGAUACCUCAGUUCGGAUUGCACUCUGCAACUCGAGUGCAUGAAGCUGGAAUUACUAGUAAUCGUGGAUCAGCGUGCCACGGUGAAUGCGUUCCCGGGUCUUGUACACACCGCCCGUCACACCAUGGGAGUUGGUUCUACCUUAAGGCAAGGUUUCAAACCCUUGACCACGGUAUAGUCAGCGACUGGGGUGAAGUCGUAACAAGGUAACC